rnacentral:lncRNA from 1 species
UGAGAGACAAUAUUUGAGGACUUGAAUUUUGAUUUAAAAAGUGUUCAAAAUAAUCAAAAAUGAAAAGCAUUCCCGUUUUAAUGAUAUUGAAUAGGUUAGAGAGGAAAACUGUAAAAAAAAAUAUAUGCCAUCAGAUCAACCACUUGAUCAAUUUUGUGCAUUGUAUGCGUUUUUGAUAAGACCAUCUUCAAAAAGUUUUAAAAAUAGUGGCAUUUAAUUCUGACCGUCACCUUCAAGUUUGUGAGCAGUGUAGCUCUCUUUUAUAAGUAUAACUGUAAUGCAAAUUUACAUAGUAACUCAAAGAGUUUGAGAUGAAAUCAGUAAUAGUUGAUUAAAAAUAAGAUACAAUAGUGAUCAGUUUGUUAUAUUGUCAUUCACAGCACAAUAACUGUUAGGGG